GAAAAUAUAUCGAUAGCUACUUAGUCUUAAACGAAUACUGUAUAUAGUAUUGUAACAUAAGUUUAAAACAAACAGUCUCAGAACUAAAAAGAAUGAUGGGGAAACAAAUGUUUUCACUGGACAUAAAUGGUAUACAAACUACAAAUAAAUAUGGCACACGUUUCGAGGAAAUAAACAACCUAGUCACUAAAAUAAAAUUUCUUAAUAAUUAAUUUAUAUUUAUUAAUGUAAAUUUUUUUGUUCCUUGGAACAUAACGUAAGUAUUGUAUACUCAAUAAAAACUGUCAAUGUACGAUAACAAA